UCAGGGGCUGAGGAGUGAGGUGGCAGCAGCUGGCAUCCACGUGGCUUUGCUGGAGGGGUGACAAACGCACUCAGGUUAGUGCGUGUUAGUGUGGUCGGCAGCAUGCAUUUUCUGACUGCCUCCGGCGUUAUGUUACUCACUUGAAAUGGAAUUCUUUAUUGUGCUGAAAGCCGUGUGCUGUGACGAUCUCAUACUGAACAGAUGGAGAAAAGGUACUGAAUUAAAUGACAAAAAUGCACUCCUACUAAUUCAACCCAGCUAARAGUGUGAGAAGACUUUGAAACGGCACUUGGUGCUUGCAAAAGGGCUCUGGACAAAUCUAACAGCUCCCACACACUGCUGGUCUGCCUGUGCGGCUGCCCCUAUCCUGGAAGCAGGAGGAAAUCAAGCUCUAGCCAUGCAUGUAACAGACUCCUCCUGCUGCAACUAUGUGACAAACAGCCACUGGAAGGUAGGUGCCAAUCAUGAUCAUGACAGACGGCAGGAGCCAUGAACACACCAGGCUUCAGAGGCUAGUAGAGAAAUGUGGGAAAGUUAAUGGGUUGCUUUUUCUGGUCCAGCCAAGCCCUGGAUUUCUGACAGGCACUGCCUGAGGCCCAACACCUGGCCCUCCAGUUCAGGCCCACUGUGUGCUACACUUUCUACCCAGGCAGGCUGUGUACCCCAGGCUGGCCUGUCUGCCCCCCUGAGCCUGGCGGAUGUACUGGACAUGUGUGUGAUGUGCACCCUAGGCUGGCCUGUCUGCCCCCUGACCUUGGCAGAUGUCCUGAGCACGGGUUUCCACAGACAGAGGAGGUACACCCAGCGCAGACAAGAAGCACCAUGGCCUAGGCACCCCACUCAAUGUUCUGGACUGCCUGUGCCCACAAGUUCUGUUUGGGCCGAAUGAGCCAGGACAGGCAAUUGUGCAACAACAGUGACACAGCUUCUGCUCAAGGGUGGCCUCCCAGGCAUCUGUGCCCAACCCCUGCCAGACAUGUAAGCUCAUUCCCUGGGCCGCCCUGAAGCAAAGCUCAGGGCACAGGCCUGAUUCACAGGAGAACUGCCGAACCCCAGGACUGAAGAAUGCACCAGGCACUCCCUGAACUGCUAAAGGUCAGAGGCGGCUGGCUGCCCACUGCUCCUAGGGAGGGCCUUACCUUUGCAGCUGCUCCACCUGCAGUGCCGACUUCCUGAGGCACUCUUCCAACUGAGAGAUCUAGACACAAUGAGAGGACUUCUGUUCUCAGCCAGACGUGCCAGCAACCCUGAGAAGAACCCAUCUGGCGGCUGCUUAAGUUAUUAAAUGGCUCGGAAAGCAAAAUGUCAAGAUCUGGACCUGUCACUUGCCAAACUACAGAAAGAGACUUAAUGAUCAGGUCCCUUGGUCAAGUCUGUGCAGGUGGCUGACAGCACCUGUCCUCUAGGAGUGUGAGAGGACUGAGAAGGUAAGUCCCUUGGUCAUGUUUGUGUAGGUGGCUGACAGCACCUGUCCUCUAGGUGUGUGCGAGGACUGAGAAGGUAAGUCCCCUGGUCAUGUCUGUGCAGGUGGCUGACAGCACCUGUCCUCUAGGAGUGUGAGAGGACUGAGAAGGUAAGUCCCCUGGUCAUGUCUGUGCAGGUGGCUGACAGCACCUGUCCUCUAGGUGUGUGAGGACUGAGAAGGUAAGUCCCCUGGUUAUGUCUGUGCAGGUAGCUGACAGCACCUGUCCUCUAGGUGUGCAAGAGGACUGAGAAGGUAAGUCCCUUGGUCAUGUCUGUGCAGGUGGUGAUGAUCAGGAGGAGAUAGAGACAAUAUUACGUUGCCUGAUAGCUCAUCUUCACGGUCCUAGAAAACAAAAUGAAAUUUGAAUCGAACAUUAAAGGUGCUCCAGUGGCAACAGGUCAUUUGAUUUACCUUUGCUCUAUAGAAGGCUAACAAUCUCUUCCUGUGUUUUUCUUGAAAUUCUGAAACCUGAGGAGACAACAAGCUCACUGUAGGUGCUGCUCAGGCUCACCCUACACUUCCUGAGGAAACACACGGCURCAAAGGACUGUUAGUGUGGGGACCAACACUCUGUCUUGCCCUUCCCCAGUAGACCCCCUUCUGUACCCACAGGCAGGUUCCAUUUGGUAGGGAGGCUCCUGCCGGCUGCCCAUGGCCAGCUGCUGUCCAGAAUGGAUGCUUGGCACAGAUGUCCCUCCAUAGGGAAGGCCAGCAGGAGGCCAAAUGCAAACACAGAUGAGCCUGUUCCCUGCCAAGGGCUGUGUCUCCCUGGUGAUGUUCCUGUCGCCCUGAUGUGGAAAGGCACAAGACCCCGCUGACUGGACCUCAGCACGUCGUCACUCUGACAAGGGGACUAGCUGGAGGGAUGGCCUCCUGGCCAACCAGCAUAGCCAGAGGACAACCUGAACUUGGUGYGUGGAGUGGGGUGGGUGGGUAGAAGAGCAGGAGCAGAAGCCCAGGGAGCCUGGCAGGCUGUGAGCAUGGAGCCUGUGGCUGUCUGGACUGGAGCCAGCUCCGACUGGAGCCAACACUGCUGCUUCACAGGCUUCCGAGCUCCCAUGUGGGAGCUGAACAGUGCUCUGUGACACUGAGGAGUGAAGCUGUGACCUGCAAGCAAGGCUUCAGACCACGGGUCACACCUGACACAUGCACCCGCCACCAUGUGCCUAAGUUCUACCACCAUUUGGCGCACCUCCCCAGGGACCAUGGCUGCCUYGGGGCUGAAGUGGGGUCAAGUCGGUUUCCUAUAAAUCUCUCAUGUCACCAACCUCGACCAUCUGCUGGUGACAACAGAUACACUGGAGUGCUCUGCAUCUCCCAUGAUCCUUAAUUUGGUACAAACAGGGAGCCAACUCUGCUGUGAACAGAUACUGCCCUGACACUGCGCCUGCGUCCUAGGGACAAGCUGUGCUGGGAGCCACCUCCAGGUCAGUGGGGUCAGCAUCCUCCUCAAAGCCUCUGAGCUUAGGACUCAGGAUUUAAGAGAGCCCAUGGCUCUAGAAGACCAACGGCAGAAGACGACCAGGUGCUGCCCACCAAGGGUGGUGAGGAAUCCUCAUGAUGCCGCAGGCCAUGACCCUGAGGGCCAUCCGUGAGCGCGCUGGGAGGUCUCCAGUUCUCUGGUGGAGGUGCCUACCUGUAUCAAACUCACUCCUCACAGCCCAGCUCCUGCAGCUUGUCUCACGAAGCCACUCCAACCCUGCAGGGUGGGCCCCGCUCCUCUGGCUGCCCAGGCUCAUGGGGCGGGGGGGGGGGUCCGUGGCAGACACACCUGCCUGACUGUGGAGGGCCUACUGGUGUCACGUCCACACUGGCAAGACUUGACCACAGGGGAUUUGCUUUUCCUGUCUUCUCUGCCUCAGACUUGUUCAGGGAAGGCCAGACAGAGCCCUCCAGGUUCUAUUCCUGACUGGGGCCAGGUGGAGUUGGGAAGUCCUGGCAGCAGACUGAGGACCACACACAGCUGCCUGUCUCCCAUCCAUCCACAACAGGUCCUGYGCCUGCACAGGAUGGGAGCUUCAUGUGAUGACCUAAACCACAUAGUGCUGUUAGCUUUGGGGAACCCUUAGGGACCAAGUGUGUGGGCUUGGGGCAGCGGGCACUGGGGCAGAGGAAUGCUGCUCCUGCUUUGUCAUGGUUGUUUCCAGGAAAGGACUUGGGGAGGGCAAGGCCUCAGUGGCUGACCUUCCCUGUGUAAGGCACAUGCUGGUGUGGCGACAGGACCACAGGGAGGGCGACCCUGGGUCCCAGAAAGCUCAUUGAAGGGAGGAGACAAGCACAGGCCUCAGAGAGGCUGGUGAGCUGUAAAGGGACUGCCCUGUGCUGUGGAGUCCAGGGAGUCUCUAGAGCAGAUGGGGCAGACUGGACCCCAGGCAUCCAGGCCACCAUCUGUAUCCCUCUGAGGCCUCACCCAGGCCUGCAAUCUCACAUCGUCCCCAGGGUUUCUGUAGUCCUGACCGUGGAAGGAUAUUGAGCCCCAGAAACUAGAGAUGCUAAGAAAGAAACUGAGGGCUGGGCUGUGACUCAGCGGUAGAGCGCUCACCUGGCAAGUGCGAGGCCCUGG